UGGGCUGUUGCCAAGCGGUAAGGCAACAGACUUUGACUCUGUCACCUCGUGGGUUCGAAUCCCGCCAGCCCAG
rnacentral:tRNA from 1 species